UUAAGCGACUAAGCGUACACGGUGGAUGCCCUGGCAGUCAGAGGCGAUGAAGGACGUGCUAAUCUGCGAAAAGCGCCGGCGAGGUGAUAUGAACCUUUGACCCGGCGAUGUCCGAAUGGGGAAACCCAGUGCAAUCCGUUGCACUAUCGUUAACUGAAUACAUAGGUUAACGAGGCGAACCGGGGGAACUGAAACAUCUAAGUACCCCGAGGAAAAGAAAUCAACCGAGAUUCCCCCAGUAGCGGCGAGCGAACGGGGAGCAGCCCGGAGUCUGAAUCAGCUUGUGUGUUAGUGGAACGGUCUGGAAAGUCCGACGGUACAGGGUGAUAGUCCCGUACACGAAAGCACACAUGCUGUGAACUCGAAGAGUAGGGCGGGACACGUGGUAUCCUGUCUGAAUAUGGGGGGACCAUCCUCCAAGGCUAAAUACUCCUGACUGACCGAUAGUGAACCAGUACCGUGAGGGAAAGGCGAAAAGAACCCCGGCGAGGGGAGUGAAAAAGAACCUGAAACCGUGUACGUACAAGCAGUGGGAGCCUCUUUAUGGGGUGACUGCGUACCUUUUGUAUAAUGGGUCAGCGACUUAUAUUCUGUAGCAAGGUUAACCGUAUAGGGGAGCCGAAGGGAAACCGAGUCUUAACUGGGCGUUAAGUUGCAGGGUAUAGACCCGAAACCCGGUGAUCUAGCCAUGGGCAGGUUGAAGGUUGGGUAACACUAACUGGAGGACCGAACCGACUAAUGUUGAAAAAUUAGCGGAUGACCUGUGGCUGGGGGUGAAAGGCCAAUCAAACCGGGAGAUAGCUGGUUCUCCCCGAAAGCUAUUUAGGUAGCGCCUCGUGAACUCAUCUUCGGGGGUAGAGCACUGUUUCGGCUAGGGGGCCAUCCCGGCUUACCAACCCGAUGCAAACUACGAAUACCGAAGAAUGUUAUCACGGGAGACACACGGCGGGUGCUAACGUCCGUCGUGAAGAGGGAAACAACCCAGACCGCCAGCUAAGGUCCCAAAGUCAUGGUUAAGUGGGAAACGAUGUGGGAAGGCACAGACAGCCAGGAUGUUGGCUUAGAAGCAGCCAUCAUUUAAAGAAAGCGUAAUAGCUCACUGGUCGAGUCGGCCUGCGCGGAAGAUGUAACGGGGCUAAACCAUGCACCGAAGCUGCGGCAGCGACGCUUAGGCGUUGUUGGGUAGGGGAGCGUUCUGUAAGCCGUUGAAGGUGUGCUGUGAGGCAUGCUGGAGGUAUCAGAAGUGCGAAUGCUGACAUAAGUAACGAUAAAGCGGGUGAAAAGCCCGCUCGCCGGAAGACCAAGGGUUCCUGUCCAACGUUAAUCGGGGCAGGGUGAGUCGACCCCUAAGGCGAGGCCGAAAGGCGUAGUCGAUGGGAAACAGGUUAAUAUUCCUGUACUUGGUGUUACUGCGAAGGGGGGACGGAGAAGGCUAUGUCAGCCGGGCGACGGUUGUCCCGGUUUAAGCAUGUAGGCGGAGGUUCCAGGUAAAUCCGGUACCUUAUUAACGCUGAGGUGUGAUGACGAGGCACUACGGUGCUGAAGUGAUAAAUGCCCUGCUUCCAGGAAAAGCCUCUAAGCAUCAGGUAACACGAAAUCGUACCCCAAACCGACACAGGUGGUCAGGUAGAGAAUACCAAGGCGCUUGAGAGAACUCGGGUGAAGGAACUAGGCAAAAUGGUGCCGUAACUUCGGGAGAAGGCACGCUGAUAUGUAGGUGAAGUCCCUGCGGACGGAGCUGAAAUCAGUCGAAGAUACCAGCUGGCUGCAACUGUUUAUUAAAAACACAGCACUGUGCAAACACGAAAGUGGACGUAUACGGUGUGACGCCUGCCCGGUGCCGGAAGGUUAAUUGAUGGGGUUAGCGGCAACGCGAAGCUCUUGAUCGAAGCCCCGGUAAACGGCGGCCGUAACUAUAACGGUCCUAAGGUAGCGAAAUUCCUUGUCGGGUAAGUUCCGACCUGCACGAAUGGCGUAAUGAUGGCCAGGCUGUCUCCACCCGAGACUCAGUGAAAUUGAACUCGCUGUGAAGAUGCAGUGUACCCGCGGCAAGACGGAAAGACCCCGUGAACCUUUACUAUAGCUUGACACUGAACACUGGUCCUUGAUGUGUAGGAUAGGUGGGAGGCUUUGAAGCGUGGACGCCAGUCUGCGUGGAGCCAACCUUGAAAUACCACCCUUUAAUGGCUGGUGUUCUAACGUAGACCCGUAAUCCGGGUUGCGGACAGUGUCUGGUGGGUAGUUUGACUGGGGCGGUCUCCUCCCAAAGAGUAACGGAGGAGCACGAAGGUUGGCUAAUCCUGGUCGGACAUCAGGAGGUUAGUGCAAUGGCAUAAGCCAGCUUGACUGCGAGCGUGACGGCGCGAGCAGGUGCGAAAGCAGGUCAUAGUGAUCCGGUGGUUCUGAAUGGAAGGGCCAUCGCUCAACGGAUAAAAGGUACUCCGGGGAUAACAGGCUGAUACCGCCCAAGAGUUCAUAUCGACGGCGGUGUUUGGCACCUCGAUGUCGGCUCAUCACAUCCUGGGGCUGAAGUAGGUCCCAAGGGUAUGGCUGUUCGCCAUUUAAAGUGGUACGCGAGCUGGGUUUAGAACGUCGUGAGACAGUUCGGUCCCUAUCUGCCGUGGGCGCUGGAGAAUUGAGGGGGGCUGCUCCUAGUACGAGAGGACCGGAGUGGACGCAUCACUGGUGUUCGGGUUGUCAUGCCAAUGGCACUGCCCGGUAGCUAAAUGCGGAAGAGAUAAGUGCUGAAAGCAUCUAAGCACGAAACUUGCCCCGAGAUGAGUUCUCCCUGAGACCUUGAGUCUCCUGAAGGAACGUUGAAGACGACGACGUUGAUAGGUCGGGUGUGUAAGCGCAGCGAUGCGUUGAGCUAACCGAUACUAAUGAACCGUGAGGCUCAACCU
rnacentral:rRNA from 1 species